AGUUCAGUCUUCCCAGGCCCACCACUUUCAUCGAGUGAGCAUUCGUCUUCUGGUUACGGGGCCAUAGCUCAGCUGGGAGAGCGCGUGCUUUGCAAGCAUGAGGUCGUCGGUUCGAUCCCGUCUGGCUCCACCAGAUGGUUUGAUCACCGAGAUCUUGUACCGUCGUCCGCGAAACAUCACUUCGCAUCCUGCUAGUCUGGAUAGACAGCAAGAUGCGUGUUUUCUGACAUCGUAAAGAGGAGAUCGAUCCGAGUUGGGUCGUGCAGCGGAUUGUUGCGCGAAUCCUUCAUUAUCUCCGGAUCAUUUUCGGCGCUCGCUUUCAGCCGUGAGGUUGAAUGCGAGUUGUAAAAUGAUCCUUUUAGCGAAGCUUGACCGCCUCGCUAUCGGAACGAUCUUACGAAGCAAGCUGGUCUUUCUAGUCAAUGUCCGGCUGUGCGUAGCGUUCAUCGAGGGCGCGUGCCGUAAGGCAAUCGUACAGACAACAUUCUGCCGAGUGUGUGGACAUUGAUAAUGAGAGCAAUCAAGUGCCUUAAGGGUGUUCGGUGGAUGCCUUGGCGCUGAGAGGCGAUGAAGGACGUGCUACGCUGCGAUAAGCCGUGGGGAGCUGCGAAGAAGCUUUGAUCCGCGGAUUUCCGAAGG
rnacentral:misc_RNA from 1 species